rnacentral:rRNA from 1 species
UCAGGAUGAACGCUGGCGGCGUGCUUAGCACAUGCAAGUCGAACGAAGCUCUUACGUUGAGUCUUCGGGAUGAAGUGUAAGAUGACUAGUGGCGGACGGGUGAGUAACGCGUGAGGAACCUGCCUUGCAGUGGGGAAUAACAGAUGGAAACGUCUGCUAAUACCGCAUAAUACGAAGGGACCGCAUGAUUUCUUCGUCAAAGAUUUAUCGCUGUGAGAUGGCCUCGCGUCUGAUUAGCUGGUUCCGGUGAGGUAACGGCUCACCAAGGCGACGAUCAGUAGCCGGACUGAGAGGUUGAUCGGCCACAUUGGGACUGAGACACGGCCCAGACUCCUACGGGAGGCAGCGAGUGGGGAAUAUUGGGCAAGUGGGCGCAAGCCUGAACCCCCAGCAACGCCGCGUGAAGGAAGAAGGCUUUCGGGUUGUAAACUUCUUUUAUCAGGGACGAUAAUGACGGUACCUGAUGAAUAAGCUCCGGCUAACUACGUGCCAGCAGCUGC